rnacentral:piRNA from 1 species
UCCCCCACGUCAGGACAGGCUUGAGGCCU